rnacentral:rRNA from 1 species
GAUGAACGCUGGCGGCGUGCCUAACACAUGCAAGUCGUACGAAUUCUAGAUAUUAUUUUUCUCAGGAAUUCGGUCAUAUAGAUUUUCCCACGCAUCGCGUAAGCGCUAAGUUGGGAAAAUCUCAUAUGACUGAUAAUUGCUGAGAAAUCAUCAAGAGUUAGUGGCGGACGGGUGAGUAACACGUUAGUACCUGCCCCGAAGUGGGGGAUAACUGCCCGAAAGGGUAGCAAUACCGCAUGUGGUCACUUGUGACCAAAGCAGAAAUGCGCUUCGGGAGGGGCUUGCGUCUGAUUAGCUUGUUGGUGGGGUAAUGGCCCACCAAGGCGACGACGGGUAGCCGGCCUG